rnacentral:misc_RNA from 1 species
UGACUACUGUGCGUCGCGACGCUCCUCGGUUUAGUUCCAUCAGGUCGAAGAAAGUUCCCCUCUAUGGAUAAAUAUGUUUUUUCUUCGCCCCCCAGAUCUCGAUAAAUCGCUGAGAGAAAUUCACUAAAAUUGAGGGGGAUUUUUUUUUUUCCUGAAUUAGCCAGAUCGUGAGAGGACUAAGGGAGUAGAAAUUAAAUGCAAUCAGCCGGUUCGUCUGAGUUUCGCGUGGAGGUUUUCCGGAAAAUGGCAGGAAAAUCCGCAAAACGUACGAGACUGUGACUCGGCGUGCUUCGACGGCCGGAAUAUCUGAAAUCGUACACGGAACGGGGCAACUUUGAAGAAGCACUCGGCGAGGCCAAAUCGUCUCGUCAAGGGGAAAACUUCAAACCAACAACGCGAGUGUUCUCCAAAUAAAAGAGGCCCUUGACCCUCAGGAGGGAUGCAAGAUGGCGGCGGUGGGCCCGGAAGUGAUCGUGCGUCGUCCCGUGUACCAGCAGGAAGAAUUCCACCGCAUAUACGAAUAUGUCAGCCUUAAAAAGAACCGUAAUGACGUUUGGCUUUCGAUCCCCUUUUUCACGUCAGUGGGUCUCACGAUAUCGAAGAAGGGCAGGAAGUGCCAGCUGGAUUCGUGCUUCCGGAGAACCGUUCCCUUCGCUGGAUGGAUUCGAGAGUACGACUGGAGAAAUAAAUUUUUCUGCGAUCUCGUAGCUGGUGUCACGGUUGCCGUCAUGCACAUCCCGCAAGGCAUGGCCUACGCUAUCCUGGGAAACGUGCCACCUAUCGUCGGAAUUUACAUGGCCUUCUUUCCGGUUCUGGUUUACAUGUUCCUGGGGACGUCUAGACACAAUUCGAUGGGCACGUUCGCUCUGGUUUGCAUGAUGACUGGGAAAACUGUGCUGACCCAUAGCUCGGGACAUGAAAUUAACUCGACGGUCGUUUCAUCCAUGGAUAAUGUCACUGGACAAGACAUGACACCGAGCCAGCACUUCUCGCCCACGGAAAUCGCGACUGCAGUCACCUUUACCGUGGCUCUAAUGCAGAUGGCGAUGUACGUCCUGCGGCUGGGCGUGAUAUCCUCGCUAUUGAGCGAAACGCUGAUAAGUGGAUUCACAACUGCAGCUGCAGUGCACGUGCUAACGUCCCAAGUUAAAGACCUCCUAGGGCUGAGUCUGAAAAAACGUAUGGGAAUUUUCAAAGUGGUUUUCACUUACGUCGACAUCGUCAACGCUAUCGACAACGUCAACGUGACGGCAGUCGUCGUCUCCGGGAUCACCAUUAUCCUCCUUGUCUUUAACAAUGAAAUCCUCAAGCCGAGGAUCUCAAAAAUGUGUCCUUUCCCUGUGCCGAUCGAGAUGAUCGCCGUGAUCGCCAGCACGUUGUUCUCGGUGUACAUGAACCUGCCGGGAAAUUACAACAUCGUCACCGUGGGUCAUAUACCAGUCGGGCUGCCCGAGCCUAGAGUUCCGCCGAUGUCUCUGAUUUCGGAUGUCCUGCUGGACAGUUUCGUUAUCACUAUGGUGUCCUACACGAUAUCCAUGUCAAUGGCUCUGAUUUUCGCGCAGAAGAUGAACUACGAGGUGGACGCCAACCAGGAACUCCUGGCUCAGGGCGCCGGCAACCUCGUAGGGUCCUUCUUCUCCUGCAUGCCCUUCACGGCUUCUUUGUCCAGAUCGAUGGUGCAACAGACAGUUGGUGGAUACAGCCAGCUGGCCAGCUUCGUUUCUUGCGGGAUUUUGCUGUGUGUGUUGCUUUGGGUGGGCCCUUUCUUCGAGCCUUUGCCCAGGUGCGUCCUCGCCAGUAUUAUCGUCGUGGCGCUGAAAGGGAUGCUCCUGCAGGUCAAGCAGCUCCCGAAAUUUUGGAAACUGUCCCGAGUGGACGCUCUCGUGUGGCUGGUCACUUUCAGCACUGUGAUACUUCUGGACAUCGAAUAUGGACUGCUGAUCGGUGUCCUGACUUCUCUGACCUCGUUAAUCGUAUAUUCGUCACGGCCUUAUGCGUGCAGAUUGGCCCUGGUCCCAGGAACCGAGAUCUACCUCGAGGCCGAAAGAUACAAAGGAACUGUAGACGUACCAGGAGUCAGAAUCCUGCGCUACUGCGGAAGUCUGAAUUUCGCCUCGAAGACGCACUUCCGGAAGGAAGUGUACAAGACCAUGGGCUUUAAUGCGCUGACCGAAUUAGAAAAUCGCCGGAAAACCCAUAUGAAGGAGACAUCCUCGGCGAAGAUACAAGUGGAAGGUUACACGAAUCCUUCGUACGAGGAGGACCGAAGAUCCGAGCGAGAGUCCUCGUCGGGGAAUUACGAGGACGAGGAGAAACGCGAGGUCAAAGAUGCUUCACCUAAUUCUAUUAUGCACGUGCUGGUCCUUGACUUCUCCGCCCUGACGUACAUCGACCCGACAGGUUGUGCAACAGUGCGUUCAUUGGCCGAGGAAUACAAGAAAACGGAGACGGUCAUAUUUCUUGCAGGGUCUUCCGGACCUGUGUUCGAGACGAUGCGAAAGUGCAUGGCAUCGGUUCGGGAAAAAGGACUGCUAGCGACAUUCCCAACCGUCGGGGACGCCGUGAACUUCGCGAGGCACGAGUUCGCCUCGACGCUGACCCCGAUCUGGACGGGCUGUGGACGAUACGAGGAGGGCACGUGCAUGAGCAGAUUCGGUUCCCGGGAACCCGAGGAAGGCCCCCUGGAACGUUCUGGAACGAGUCUCGAAAAUUCUAACUGGGUCCGGACAUUGACGGGACCCAGAGCCAUCGGUUACGGGGCGAUCUGAACGUGCCGAGAGAAAUCCAUCUCGAGACCCUGGAGCUCGGAAAAAACUCAUUCCAGAAUCUCAUUGCCGGCAGUAUUCUUGAGGAGACGAACGCGUCGAGGAGAGUCUCGACGUAGAGCGACAUCCAACGCUUCACCCUCACGGGCAAGGUUUCCUUGGAUUCCCCCCCUUCCCUAGAAAUUAUUCGGCCGGGUAAAACCGGAGUAGUUUAUCGAGUGAAAUGGAAGAAAAAUGCGGAGACAGAGACCCGCGUCUGCCAAUUGCGGAUUACUUAAGACCCAGGAAAGAGAAAGGGCUGCAAGAAAGCGGCGGAGGAUCAAAGAUGGUCGACGGGAUUUCGCAAUUCGCGGACAUCGGCGGGACAGUCUUCGAGCAUUUCGAAAGCGGAGCUAUCUCGUGAUGUAUUUUGCCUUUUUUUUUUUCUUUCUUUCUUCUCGUCUAGCAUUCCUGGCAGGUAGAACCGGUCGCGAGUUAUCGCUAAAUACCUAUCGUUAUGUACUGUGAAUAAUUGCGCGUGUUCGCCUAUGUGUUAAUCCACUUCCAUUAGAAGCGUUCGAUCGAACGCAAAACUUGCUAUCGAUGCUUAGAGAAGUCGUGACAUGUAUU